rnacentral:rRNA from 1 species
CGGAGGGUGCAGGCGUUAUUCGGAUUCACUGGGUUUAAAGGGUGCGUAGGCGGGCAGGUAAGUCCGUGGUGAAAUCUCUGAGCUUAACUCAGAAACUGCCAUGGAUACUAUUUGUCUUGAAUAUUGUGGAGGUAAGCGGAAUAUGUCAUGUAGCGGUGAAAUGCUUAGAUAUGACAUAGAACACCAAUUGCGAAGGCAGCUUACUACACAGUUAUUGACGCUGAGGCACGAAAGCGUGGGGAUCAAACAGGAUUAGAUACCCUGGUAGUCCACGCCCUAAACGAUGAUUACUCGACAUCAGCGAUACACUGUUGGUGUCUGAGCGAAAGCAUUAAGUAAUCCACCUGGGAAGUACGAUCGCAAGAUUG